rnacentral:rRNA from 1 species
CCCUUAGAUGUUCUGGGCCGCACGCGCGCUACACUGAUGCAUUCAACGAGCCUAUCCUUGACCGACAGGUCCGGGUAAUCUUUGAAUCUGCAUCGUGACGGGGAUAGAUUAUUGCAAUUAUUAAUCUUCAACGAGGAAUGCCUAGUUGGCGCAAGUCAUCAGCUUGCGUCGAUUACGUCCCUGCCCUUUGUACACACCGCCCGUCGCUCCUACCGAUUGGGUGUGCUGGUGAAAUGUUCGGAUCGGCCGUUUGUCGCGGUUUCCGCGUCAUGUGGCUGAGAAGUUCAUUAAACCCUCCCACCUAGAGGAAGGAGAAGUCGUAACA